GACAGAGGGGGCAAGCGUUGCUCGGAAUUACUGGGCGUAAAGGGCGCGUAGGCGGGAUGGCAAGUCGGUCGUGAAAUCCCUCGGCUCAACCGAGGAACGUCGAUCGAUACUGCUGUUCUUGAGGAUUGCAGAGGAGACUGGAAUUCCCGGUGUAGCGGUGAAAUGUGUAGAUAUCAGGAGGAACACCGAUGGCGAAGGCAGGUCUCUGGGCCACUACUGACGCUGGAGGAAGCGAAAGCGUGGGAGCGAACAGGAUUAGAU
rnacentral:rRNA from 1 species